UACUCAUGUAGAGGAUGCGAGGGAAAUCGGCCCGUCGACCAUCCGGCAACCUGCUUCAGCAGCAAGGUGCCAAUGCCUUCCCGUUACGGGACCCAUGAGAG
rnacentral:ncRNA from 22 species